CUACUCCAGAUCAGCUGAUAGUUCUACUCCAGAUCAGCUGAUAGUUCUGCUCCAGCUGACAAUUCUGCUCCAGCGAUUGUCUGCUGCAGCUGAUAGUUCUACUCCAAAUCAGCUGAUAGUUCUACUCCAAAUCAGCUGAUAGUUCUGCUCCAGAUCAGCUGAUAGUUCUGCUCCAGAUCAGCUGAUAGUUCUGCUCCAGAUCAGCUGAUAGUUCUGCUGCAGAUCAGCUUAUAGUUCUGCUCCAGAUAAGCUGAUAGUUCUACUCCAGCUGAUAGUUCUGCUCCAGAUCAGCUGAUAGUUCUACUCCAGAUCAGUUGAUAGUUCUACUCCAGAUCAGUUGAUAGUUUUACUCCAGAUCAGCUGAUAGUUCUGCUCCAGCUGACAAUCCUGCUCCAGCUGAUAGUCUGCUGCAGCUGAUAGUUCUACUCCAAAUCAGCUGAUAGUUCUACUCCAAAUCAGCUGAUAGUUCUGCUCCAGAUCAGCUGAUAGUUCUGCUCCAGAUCAGCUGAUAGUUCUGCUCCAGAUCAGCUGAUAGUUCUUCUCCAGAUCAGCUGAUAGUUCUGCUCCGGAUCAGUUGAUAGUUCUGCUCUGGAUCAGCUGAUAGUUCUGCUCCGGAUCAGCUGAUAGUUCUGCUCCGGAUCAGCUGAUAGUUCUGCUCCGGAUCAGCUGAUAGUUCUGCUCCGGAUCAGCUGAUUGUUCUGCUCCGGAUCAGCUGAUAGUUCUACUCCGGAUCAGCUGAUAGUUCUACUCCGGAUCAGUUGAUAGUUCUACUCCGGAUCAGUUGAUAGUUUUGCUCCAGCUGAGUUGAUAGUUCUGCUCCAGAUCAGUUGAUAGUUCUGCUCCAGAUCAGUUGAUAGUUCUGCUCCAGAUCAGUUGAUAGUUCUGCUCCAGAUCAGCUGAUAGUUCUACUCCAGAUCAGCUGAUAGUUCUACUCCAGAUCAGCUGAUAGUUCUGCUCCAGCUGAUAGUUCUACUCCAGAUCAGCUGAUAGUUCUACUCCAGAUCAGCUGAUAGUUCUGCUCAAGAUCAGCUGAUAUAUCUGCUCCAGAUCAGCUGAUAGUUCUACUCCGGAUCAGCUGAUAGUUCUACUCCAGAUCAGCUGAUAGUUCUGCUCCAGAUCAGCUGAUAGUUCUACUCCGGAUCAGCUGAUAGUUCUGCUCCAGCUGAUAGUCUGCUCCAGCUGAUAGUCUGCUGCAGCUGAUAGUCUGCUGCAGCUGAUAGUCUGCUGCAGCUGAUAGUUCUACUCCAGAUCAGCUGAUAGUUCUACUCCAGAUCAGCUGAUAGUUCUGCUCCAGAUCAGUUGAUAGUUCUGCUCCAGAUCAGUUGAUAGUUCUACUCCAGAUCAGCUGAUAGUUCUACUCCAGAUCAGCUGAUAGUUCUGCUCCAGCUGAUAGUUCUACUCCAGAUCAGCUGAUAGUUCUACUCCAGAUCAGCUGAUAGUUCUGCUCCAGAUCAGCUGAUAGUUCUGCUCAAGAUCAGCUGAUAGUUCUACUCCGGAUCAGCUGAUAGUUCUACUCCAGAUCAGCUGAUAGUUCUGCUCCAGAUCAGCUGAUAGUUCUACUCAAGAUCAGCUGAUAGUUCUGCUCCAGCUGAUAGUCUGCUCCAGCUGAUAGUCUGCUGCAGCUGAUAGUUCUACUCCAGAUCAGCUGAUAGUUCUGC
rnacentral:lncRNA from 1 species